rnacentral:rRNA from 1 species
UACGUAGGUGGCAAGCGUUGUCCGGAAUUAUUGGGCGUAAAGGGCGCGUAGGCGGCGCGGUAUGUCACCUGUGAAAUCUCCUGGCUCAACUGGGAGCUUGCAGGCGAAACUGCCGUGCUGGAGUGUGGGAGAGGUGCGUGGAAUUCCUGGUGUAGCGGUGAAAUGCGUAGAUAUCAGGAGGAACACCUGUGGCGAAAGCGGCGCACUGGACCACAACUGACGCUGAGGCGCGAAAGCUAGGGGAGCAAACAGG